rnacentral:rRNA from 1 species
UACGGGGGGGGCAAGCGUUGUUCGGAAUUACUGGGCGUAAAGGGCUCGUAGGCGGCCAACUAAGUCAGACGUGAAAUCCCUCGGCUUAACCGGGGAACUGCGUCUGAUACUGGAUGGCUUGAGGUAGGGAGAGGGAUGCGGAAUUCCAGGUGUAGCGGUGAAAUGCGCAGAUAUCAGGAGGAACACCGGUGGCGAAGGCGGUUCUCUGGGCAUUACCUGACGCUGAGGAGCGAAAGUGUGGGGAGCGAACAGG